GUCUUCGCGGUGGCCGGAUGGUUAGCGCGUUGGCCUCCGGAUCCAGUGGUCCAGGUUCGAGCCCUGACCUGGGUCA